CCUCCUCGAUCUGCUGAGGGCAGAUGAAGUGGAUGUGGCUGUCGAUGCCCCCGGCCGUGAGGAUGCGCCCCUCGCCCGCGAUGGCCUCGGUCCCCGGCCCCACGACGAUGUCCACGCCGGGCUGGAUGUCGGGGUUGCCCGCCUUGCCGAUCCUGUGGAUGCGCCCGUCCCUGAGGCCCACGUCGGCCUUAGUGAUGCCGGUCCAGUCGAGGAUCAGGGCGUUGGUGAUGACGGUGUCCACCGCCCCCUCGGCCCGGGUGCGCUGGCUCUGGCCCAUGCCGUCGCGGAUG
rnacentral:sRNA from 1 species